rnacentral:tRNA from 1 species
GUUCCUGUAGUUAAAUUCCAAUAACAGCGGCUUUUCAGGCCGCAAUCCCUGGAGAGAGGCCGGGCGGGAAUU